GCGAACGGGUGCGUAACGCGUAUGCAAUCUGCCCACUGCUGGGGGAUAGCCCGAAGAAAUUUGGAUUAACCCCCCCAUGGUACGGCGACUCCGCAUGGGGUUGUCGUUAAAGUUUACGGCAGUGGAUGAGCAUGCGUCCCAUUAGCUAGUUGGUGAGGUAACGGCUCACCAAGGCUGCGAUGGGUAGGGGUCCUGAGAGGGAGAUCCCCCACACUGGUACUGAGACACGGACCAGACUCCUACGGGAGGCAGCAGUGAGGAAUAUUGGACAAUGGGGGCAACCCUGAUCCAGCCAUGCCGCGUGCAGGAAGACGGCCCUACGGGUUGUAAACUGCUUUUGUACGGGAAGAACUCCCCGCUCGUGAGCGGGGCUGACGGUACCGUAAGAAUAAGCACCGGCUAACUCCGUGCCAGCAGCCGCGGUAAUACGGAGGGUGCAAGCGUUGUCCGGAUUUAUUGGGCGUAAAGCGUCCGCAGGGGGCUCAUCAAGUCUGCUGUUAAAGGUCGGAGCUUAACUCCGAUACAGCAGUGGAAAC
rnacentral:rRNA from 1 species